AGAGUUUGAUCAUGGCUCAGAUUGAACGCUGGCGGCAGGCCUAACACAUGCAAGUCGAGCGGUAGCACAGAGAGCUUGCUCUCGGGUGACGAGCGGCGGACGGGUGAGUAAUGUCUGGGAAACUGCCUGAUGGAGGGGGAUAACUACUGGAAACGGUAGCUAAUACCGCAUAAUGUCGCAAGACCAAAGUGGGGGACCUUCGGGCCUCAUGCCAUCAGAUGUGCCCAGAUGGGAUUAGCUAGUAGGUGGGGUAACGGCUCACCUAGGCGACGAUCCCUAGCUGGUCUGAGAGGAUGACCAGCCACACUGGAACUGAGACACGGUCCAGACUCCUACGGGAGGCAGCAGUGGGGAAUAUUGCACAAUGGGCGCAAGCCUGAUGCAGCCAUGCCGCGUGUGUGAAGAAGGCCUUCGGGUUGUAAAGCACUUUCAGCGGGGAGGAAGGCGNUCGAUUGACGUUACCCGCAGAAGAAGCACCGGCUAACUCCGUGCCAGCAGCCGCGGUAAUACGGAGGGUGCAAGCGUUAAUCGGAAUUACUGGGCGUAAAGCGCACGCAGGCGGUCUGUCAAGUCGGAUGUGAAAUCCCCGGGCUCAACCUGGGAACUGCAUUCGAAACUGGCAGGCUAGAGUCUUGUAGAGGGGGGUAGAAUUCCAGGUGUAGCGGUGAAAUGCGUAGAGAUCUGGAGGAAUACCGGUGGCGAAGGCGGCCCCCUGGACAAAGACUGACGCUCAGGUGCGAAAGCGUGGGGAGCAAACAGGAUUAGAUACCCUGGUAGUCCACGCCGUAAACGAUGUCGAUUUGGAGGUUGUGCCCUUGAGGCGUGGCUUCCGGAGCUAACGCGUUAAAUCGACCGCCUGGGGAGUACGGCCGCAAGGUUAAAACUCAAAUGAAUUGACGGGGGCCCGCACAAGCGGUGGAGCAUGUGGUUUAAUUCGAUGCAACGCGAAGAACCUUACCUGGUCUUGACAUCCACAGAACUUUCCAGAGAUGGAUUGGUGCCUUCGGGAACUGUGAGACAGGUGCUGCAUGGCUGUCGUCAGCUCGUGUUGUGAAAUGUUGGGUUAAGUCCCGCAACGAGCGCAACCCUUAUCCUUUGUUGCCAGCGGUCCGGCCGGGAACUCAAAGGAGACUGCCAGUGAUAAACUGGAGGAAGGUGGGGAUGACGUCAAGUCAUCAUGGCCCUUACGACCAGGGCUACACACGUGCUACAAUGGCAUAUACAAAGAGAAGCGACCUCGCGAGAGCAAGCGGACCUCAUAAAGUAUGUCGUAGUCCGGAUUGGAGUCUGCAACUCGACUCCAUGAAGUCGGAAUCGCUAGUAAUCGUAGAUCAGAAUGCUACGGUGAAUACGUUCCCGGGCCUUGUACACACCGCCCGUCACACCAUGGGAGUGGGUUGCAAAAGAAGUAGGUAGCUUAACCUUCGGGAGGGCGCUUACCACUUUGUGAUUCAUGACUGGGGUGAAGUCGUAACAAGGUAACCGUAGGGGAACCUGCGGUUGGAUCACCU
rnacentral:rRNA from 1 species